UGAGCAAUCUGCCCUUCUCAUCGGAAUAAGCGUUGGAAACGACGUCUAAUGCCGAAUACGACCUCCUUUCGCAUGAUUCGGAGGUGGAAAGCUCCGGCGGAGAAGGAUGAGCUCGCGGCCUAUCAGCUAGUUGGUGUGGGUAAUGGCCCACCAAGGCGACGACGGGUAGCCGGCCUGAGAGGGUGACCGGCCACACUGGGACUGAGACACGGCCCAGACUCCGUACGGGAGCAG
rnacentral:rRNA from 1 species